CAUCCAACCAUCUCAUCCUCUGCUACCUCCUUCUCGGUCCCUCAAUCUUUCCAAGCAUCAUGGUCUUUUCCAAUGAGUUGGCUCUUUGCUUCAGGUGGCCAAAGCAUCGGAGCUUCAGUAUUAGGCUUCCGAUGAAUAUUCUGGGUUGAUUUCCCUUAGGAUUGACUGGUUGGAUCUCCUUGUAGUCUAAGGGACUAAUGCCCACCAUUCAGUGAAGAUGAGGGUAAAUGUUAUUUAAAGGUAAACUACAAUGAAAAACCAUGUGAGUUGAGAACUAGUGGCAUUAAACUAUGGGAACUUAUCAGAACUACUGGAAUACGAAGCUGGAGGUCCUUGCACUGCUGAGAAUGUGUCCUGACCCAACCACCCAGAUUCCACAGAGUUCGGCAGGAAGAAAGUCACCAUGAAAUCCCCAAAGGACAAUGGACCCAAGCACCAGGACCAACGCCAGACUCAAAUACCUAGCUACCUGACACUGGCCUAUUGACUGUUUCCCAACAGUGCAAAAGAGAGAAUUCAGGACCCCUACACCUUUUGUCCCAUAUCUCCAAGCCCUGACUAUGAGCCCCGACUGUAUGAUCCCCUGGAUUGCCGAUGGAGGGGAGACAGGCUCCUUGAGGCAAGAACCUAUCGAGUUCUCCCUUCUGCCAGCUUAAUCAUUAAAGCCAUCUUUAUGUUUCCU